GAUCCGCUAGCUCAGUUGGUAGAGCACUUGACUUUUAAUCAAGGUGUCCCGAGUUCGAUUCUCGGGCGGGUCA
rnacentral:tRNA from 1 species